rnacentral:misc_RNA from 1 species
GUCCCACUUUUUUGCGGUUGCUUAAUUUUUGGUAAUUUUGCAGGCUCAGGAUGUAAAUUUUGCAAUGGAAGCCUCGAGAAAAUCACGGAUUGCUUUUGUGGCAGCUAACGUAAGCUUAGGAGAAACCCAACAUAGAGAGGGUCUAUCAUCCAUUAAAAAAGCUCUUGAUUUUUAUUUCCAAGAUAUAGAAGGAUUACUACGUCUGGUACGGCUUGCAAUUGAAGCUAUAAGCCGCUAAAGAGUCCAGUUUUUUGUGGAGAUUGUACCAAAUUUGGGAGGAAAUAGAAGAGCCUGGUUAUUUGUGACCUGAUUUUCUCUGUUGCAGUUCUGGAGACUUCUGCUGGAGACUAGUCAUUGCCAUCUCACCAGCUUUGUUUUGUGUACAUUUGUAUGAUACAGGAAGGAUUUGGAAUUUUGAGUAUAUUUUUUCAUCAUACUUUAGCUGCUUUCUGAAGCAGAUAAAGACCAUAAUGUUAAAUCCAUUUCAGGAUUGGUCUUAAGGAAAAUUGAUUUAUCAACUUCUACAGAAAUGAUUGUGAGAUUGUAGAAAGUGGCCAUUUUAUGAUGCGGCAGGACUGUGGUUGAAGAAAUAAGCGCAUAUAGUUAGGGAACCCCGACUAUAAAUAUGCGUGGGGUUGUAGGAUUUCAAUACAAGGAUGUGCCAUCUUUAUGGCAGUUGUUUUUACCUGGACGGAGAUGAGUUUAGCUGUCCUGUUAAUUCUUUACGUACAACAUAUUUGGAUAUAGAAGGAUGGCCAUUGUAAAAUUUGUGCAAUGACAUGAAUCUUAACUCUACUAUCGGAGACUGCAGUAACUUUCUUGGUUCGGGAUCUUUGUAAAGAUGCUAAUUGUCCUAUCUGGCUGUCUCAGGUCGUCUUUAGGAGGUUCUGACAAGUUAGGACAAUU